GAGAAAGAGUAAGAGAAAUAAACAACCAUGGAUUUCGACACCCAAUCUCUUGAAAACCCUGGAAUCAAAUCAACUGAAGAACAAAG